CCCUGUGCGUGAGGGAAGUACCACUCGAAUGAACUAAAUUAGGGGAUUUGAUUUCCCAGGCAACAACACAGUUUACUACGCUGCUAAAAUUAAUUAUACCUGUGCUGAUAAUACACAUUUUGGAUUAUUGUUCAGCUGGAUUGGUUCCCUGGGGCAGUUCACCGAGCAGCCACCCAUGGCACUGCACAACAUUCCCAAGUGUCAGUGGAGAGGAUGACGGGGUUACGGUGACGUGGUGGAGAGGAAUGAAGAAGCUGGACAGGUAUCCCUGCUGCUACUGUGCCACCUUGGCUGUGCUCUUCAGCACAGCACUGGUCUAAGGGACAUUUGGCCCUGCUGAUCCUUUCUGCUCAGAGGCAGUCAAAUGGCAGCUUCAAUGAAACCAGCACAACUGAUUGUUGGCUGAAGCAAAAACAACCCAGG